GGGUUAGUAGGUUGGUCAUGCCUCUGGUAUGUACUGGUCUCACUGAUUCCUCCUUCCUGAUGAGCUGUAAUGCCAUUAAUUUGGUGUUGCGGGGAAUCUGGACUGUUACUUUGAAAAAAUUAGAGUGUUUAAAGCAGGCUUACGCUUGAAUACAUUAGCAUGGAAUAAUGAAAUAGGACGUUUAAUUCUAUUUUGUUGGUUUCUAGGAUUGACGUA
rnacentral:rRNA from 1 species